rnacentral:lncRNA from 1 species
GCUCAGGCCCGUUAAAGCCCCCCGGGCAGACGUUUCUGUUUAACCCCACGUAACGGCAACGUGAUCGGGGGGGGCUCCGCUUCUCCCAGCCCCGCUCCUGGCACUCCUCGCCGGGAGCCGCAGCCCGGCUCAGCCGCUCCUCAUCGGCUCCAGCCUCUGGGGGGGGCGGGGGGGGGGGGGCCUCAGCAUCCUGCCCCCCCCCCUCCCGGAUGCUGCCGCUGUCCCGGCGGCUCUCGGCUCCCGCUGCCGCUUAAGUCCUAAAGGAUGCAGAGGUGCGGAGGGAGGUGAGCUCGGCCCAGAGGCUGCGCCGGGGGACUCUGCCUGCCCGCCGAGGAGAGGAAAAAUCCCGGCAUCGCCUCGAUCAGCGUGGUUUUGGCAGCACCCACCAAAGGGGACGGGGACAGGGACAAGGAGAAGCCGUGCCAGCGCAGGGCAGUGGGGAGACGACCACCUCGCAGCACCCUCACCCUGGAAAUCGAAGGGAAGAGGAGCUCCACCAGGACCUGGGGUUAGGACUGAGCUUUCCAGCCCGGAGGAGGCUGCUCCUGCUGUGGGUUUGCAGCGGUAA